AUAUGUAAAUAGCAAGCCCAUUGAAAAAUGGAGUACGCAAAACUAUAGGGUCUAAGCUUGUUGAAGUAGGAUAGCCAGUUGCCAAU
rfam:Coprobacillus sp. 29_1 genomic scaffold supercont1.4, whole genome shotgun sequence.